CUGCAAGAUCUUAAAUAAUGUUGUUUAUUGCACCAAAAACAAAUAACUUUAGGAGUUAUAUUCUGCCCUAUAUUAUCAACUGCCCUAUAUUUAGUUGAAUAAAUUGGGAGGGGCUCAGCUGUCUGUAUCACUCUACACUCUGUCCUAGAAGAAGAAGAAGAAGAAGAAGGGGGACGGGGGCUGUAACAUCUGCACUUCUUUCUCUGCCUAAAGCCACAAGUCGUUUUAACCCCUUCAUUCUUGGUUUCCCUCCUUAAGUUAUCCAAGAACAAAGCUACUUCUGUCAAAGUGCUUUUUUCUCUAGCUACCACAAUUGCAGUUGGAUCUAGAUCUUGAAAUUUUUUCACAAAUUCAUUAAUUAACUGAUCUUCAGAAAAAUCAGCAACAAGUCUAUAUGCAUUUUCAAAUUUUGCAAGAAAACUAAAUAUAUCCUCCCCCUUGUGUGGUUUUAGUUUUUCCAACAUUUCAGUGUCUGCAAAAUCAUUCCCUGUUGUUAAUUUUAUUAAUUGUGUUAAUCUGUAUUGCUUAUUUCAAUAUAUUAUUUCAUCAUUGUCCUCGAAUUUUACAGGCGCGGUCAGCCUACAUGCCAUUUGAGUCGGCAGCCAUAUUUGAAAUAGUCUAUUCCUUUGUACGUCAUGUAGGCUGUAUUUGUCUAAAUUAGACUCAAACAUUUCAGCAUUAGUGAAUGCAUCCACUGACGUGUCAUAAACUGGAAUACAUUUCACAAUUUUCAUUAAUUGUUCAUGGAUCUUCAAAUUAAGUUUUGCAGCUCUGUCUUGAAAUUUAUAUUUCUGCAAAUCACUC